rnacentral:rRNA from 1 species
UACGUAGGGUGCGAGCGUUGUCCGGAAUUAUUGGGCGUAAAGGGCUCGUAGGCGGUUUGUCGCGUCGGGAGUGAAAACCUUGGGCUUAACUCAGGGCUUGCUUUCGAUACGGGCAGACUAGAGGUAUGCAGGGGAGAACGGAAUUCCUGGUGUAGCGGUGAAAUGCGCAGAUAUCGGGAGGAACACCGGUGGCGAAGGCGGUUCUCUGGGCAUGAUCUGACGCUGAGGAGCGAAAGUGUGGGGAGCGAACAGG